GCAACCAUAGCUCAGUUGGUUAGAACUUGGUGUUGAUAAUGCCCAGGUUGCAGGUUCGAUUCCCACAUGGGGCAGCUACA